rnacentral:miRNA from 2 species
CUCUCUACUGACUUGCAACAUA